rnacentral:rRNA from 1 species
UACAGAGGGUGCGAGCGUUAAUCGGAAUUACUGGGCGUAAAGCGUGCGUAGACGGUUUCGUAAGUCGGGUGUGAAAUCCCCGGGCUCAACCUGGGAGUUGCAUUCGAAACUGCGAGGCUAGGGUACGGAAGAGGGAAGCGGAAUUUCUGGUGUAGCGGUGAAAUGCGUAGAUAUCAGAAGGAACAUCAGUGGCGAAAGCGGCUUCCUGGUCCAGUACCGACGUUCAGGCACGAAAGCGUGGGGAGCAAACAGG